rnacentral:rRNA from 1 species
AUUGAACGCUGGCGGCAGGCCUAACACAUGCAAGUCGAACGAGUGGCGGACGGGUGCGUAAUGUCUGGGAAACUGCCCGAUGUAGGGGGAUAACUACUGGAAACGGUAGCUAAUACCGCAUACCAUCGGAUGUGCCCAGAUGGGAGUAGCUAGUAGGUGGGGUAACGGCUCACCUAGGCGACGAUCCCUAGCUGGUCUGAGAGGAUGCCCAGCCACACUGGAACUGAGACAAGGUCCAGACUCCUACGGUAGGCAGCAGUGGGGAAUAGUGCACAAUGGGCGCAAGCUUGAUGCAGCCCUGCCGCGUGUAUGAAGAAGGCCUUCGGGUUGUAAAGUACUUUCAGCGGGGAGGCGUUACCCGCAGAAGAAGCACCGGCUAACUCCGUGCCAGCAGCCGCGGUAAUUC